GAUGAACGCUGGCGGCGUGCCUAAUACAUGCAAGUCGAGCGAACGGACGAGAAGCUUGCUUCCCUGAUGUUAGCGGCGGACGGGUGAGUAACACGUGGAUAACCUACCUAUAAGACUGGGAUAACUUCGGGAAACCGGAGCUAAUACCGGAUAAUAUUUUGAACCGCAUGGUUCAAAAGUGAAAGACGGUCUUGCUGUCACUUAUAGAUGGAUCCACGCUGCAUUAGCUAGUUGGUAAGGUAACGGCUUACCAAGGCAACGAUGCAUAGCCGACCUGAGAGGGUGAUCGGCCACACUGGAACUGAGACACGGUCCAGACUCCUACGGGAGGCAGCAGUAGGGAAUCUUCCGCAAUGGGCGAAAGCCUGACGGAGCAACGCCGCGUGAGUGAUGAAGGUCUUCGGAUCGUAAAACUCUGUUAUUAGGGAAGAACAUAUGUGUAAGUAACUGUGCACAUCUUGACGGUACCUAAUCAGAAAGCCACGGCUAACUACGUG
rnacentral:rRNA from 1 species